UACAGAGGUCCCAAGCGUUGUUCGGAUUCACUGGGCGUAAAGGGUGCGUAGGUGGCCGGGUAAGUCUGACGUGAAAUCUCCAAGCUCAACUUGGAAACUGCGUCGGAUACUAUCCGGCUAGAGGAUCGGAGGGGAGACUGGAAUACUUGGUGUAGCAGUGAAAUGCGUAGAUAUCAAGUGGAACACCAGUGGCGAAGGCGAGUCUCUGGACGAUUCCUGACACUGAGGCACGAAAGCCAGGGGAGCAAACAGG
rnacentral:rRNA from 1 species